rnacentral:tRNA from 1 species
UGCCCUGUAGUGUAAUUGGCAACACGCCUGACUCUGGAUCAGGAGACUUCAGGUUCGACCCCUGACAGGGCAG